AGCGAACGCUGGCGGCAGGCCUAAAACAUGCAAGUCGAACGGUUCUUCGGAACAGUGGCGGACGGGUGAGUAACACGUGGGAACGUGCCUUUAGGUUCGGAACAACUCAGGGAAACUUGAGCUAAUACCGGAUGUGCCCUUCGGGGGAAAGAUUUAUCGCCUUUAGAGCGGCCCGCGUCUGAUUAGCUAGUUGGUGGGGUAAUGGCCUACCAAGGCGACGAUCAGUAGCUGGUCUGAGAGGAUGAUCAGCCACACUGGGACUGAGACACGGCCCAGACUCCUACGGGAGGCAGCAGUUAGGAAUCUUGCGCAAGGGGGGAAACCCUGACGCAGCCAUGCCGCGUGAAUGAUGAAGGUCUUAGGAUUGUAAAAUUCUUUCAGCGGGGACGAUAAUGACGGUACCCGCAGAAGAAGCCCCGGCUAACUUCGUGCCAGCAGCCGCCGUAAAAC
rnacentral:rRNA from 1 species